CCUACGGGGCGCAGCAGUGGGGGAUAUUGCACAAUGGGGGAAACCCUGAUGCAGCGACGCCGCGUGAGUGAAGAAGUAUUUCGGUAUGUAAAGCUCUAUCAGCAGGGAAGAAAAUGACAGUACCUGACCAAGAAGCCCCGGCUAACUACGUGCCAGCAGCCGCGGUAAUACGUAGGGGGCAAGCGUUAUCCGGAUUUACUGGGUGUAAAGGGAGCGUAGACGGUUAUGUAAGUCUGGAGUGAAAGCCCGGGGCCCAACCCCGGGACUGCUUUGGAAACUGUGUAACUGGAGUGCAGGAGGGGCAGGCGGAAUUCCUGGUGUAGCGGUGAAAUGCGUAGAUAUCAGGAGGAACACCGGAGGCGAAGGCGGCCUGCUGGACUGAAACUGACGUUGAGGCUCGAAAGCGUGGGGAGCAAACAGGAUUAGAUACCCCAGUAGUC
rnacentral:rRNA from 1 species